GGUGAAAAGCACCCCGGAAGGGGAGUGAAAUAGAACCUGAAACCGUGUGCUUACAAGUAGUCAGAGCCCGUUAAUGGGUGAUGGCGUGCCUUUUGUAGAAUGAACCGGCGAGUUACGAUUUGAUGCAAGGUUAAGCAGUAAAUGUGGAGCCGUAGCGAAAGCGAGUCUGAAUAGGGCGUUUAGUAUUUGGUCGUAGACCCGAAACCAGGUGAUCUACCCUUGGUCAGGUUGAAGUUCAGGUAACACUGAAUGGAGGACCGAACCGACUUACGUUGAAAAGUGAGCGGAUGAACUGAGGGUAGCGGAGAAAUUCCAAUCGAACCUGGAGAUAGCUGGUUCUCUCCGAAAUAGCUUUAGGGCUAGCCUCAAGUGAUGAUUAUUGGAGGUAGAGCACUGUUUGGACGAGGGGCCCCUCUCGGGUUACCGAAUUCAGACAAACUCCGAAUGCCAAUUAAUUUAACUUGGGAGUCAGAACAUGGGUGAUAAGGUCCGUGUUCGAAAGGGAAACAGCCCAGACCACCAGCUAAGGUCCCAAAAUAUAUGUUAAGUGGAAAAGGAUGUGGCGUUGCCCAGACAACUAGGAUGUUGGCUUAGAAGCAGCCAUCAUUUAAAGAGUGCGUAAUAGCUCACUAGUCGAGUGACACUGCGCCGA
rnacentral:rRNA from 1 species